GACGAACGCUGGCGGCGUGCUUAACACAUGCAAGUCGAACGGAAAGGCCCUGCUUUUGUGGGGUGCUCGAGUGGCGAACGGGUGAGUAACACGUGAGUAACCUGCCCUUGACUUUGGGAUAACUUCAGGAAACUGGGGCUAAUACCGGAUAGGAGCUCCUGCUGCAUGGUGGGGGUUGGAAAGUUUCGGCGGUUGGGGAUGGACUCGCGGCUUAUCCGCUUGUUGGUGGGGUAGUGGCUUACCAAGGCUUUGACGGGUAGCCGGCCUGAGAGGGGGACCGGCCACAUUGGGACUGAGAGACGGCGCAGACGCCUACGGGAGGCAGAAGGGGGGAGUAUUGCACAAUGGGCGGAAGCCAGAGGCAGCAACGCCGCGUGCGGGAUGACGGGCUUCGGGGGGUAAACCGCUUUCGAAUGAGACGAAGCGGGAGUGACGGUAAUGGGUAAAGAAGCACCGGCUAACUACGUG
rnacentral:rRNA from 1 species